GCGCUGCAGGAAAGACAGAAAAACGGCUGAAUACCAGCGAGCCAGGUCUUUUUCUGGCCAUUCCCUCUCGCUCCGGUAUGAAGCUGGUUACGAUUCUACCUUAACAAUCUGAAUAUCACUGUCCUCCAUAUCCAUACUGUCUUCAGAUGGAUGAAUACAAGGUACAUAUAUGUGCAUGCAGGUGCCAAUAGAGAACAAAAGGGAUCCCCUGGAGCUGGAGUUGUAGGUGAUUGCAAACUGCAGGGCAGGUGCUGGGAACCAAACUCCAGGACUCUCCGCAAAAGGAGCAAACACUUAACCACCGAGCCACAUCCGCAGCCUUGGUCGGUUCACAGCCAUUUUCUGGUUGGUUUCUGAAGCAUUACUAAAUUGUGCAAAGGUAAAUAUAGUCUUAAAAGGUC